UCCACUCCGUCUGCCCAGUGUUCAGACUACCUGUUCAGGACUACGAGAUUGUACAGUAGUCUGCACAUUGGUUAGGCUGUGCUGGGAUACACC
rnacentral:pre_miRNA from 1 species